UCCUUCCAUUCAAGAGAUUUAUUAUGUUUGCAAAACCAGUCAGAUGAAAUCCGAUGUCAAAUCUGUGGACCACAGAUGAAUUCUUGUAAUUUUCACGUGUUUCAGUCUUCUGCUGUUGAGUUAACCAGAUGCAUACACAGUACCAUAGAUUUGACGCUGAUGGCAAAUAUGCUAGUAGUAGCAGUCCUAGCUUUCAUGAACUUUAUGUUUGUUGAUAUUGAGAAAAUAACGGUAAUGGCUGCCAAUUCUCGACCAACACUUGGUUACAUGCAUGUACAUUUCACUUUAGCUGUAGAUGUUUACGUCUUCUGUAUCCUGGGUAUCUUUGUGCCUUGUGUUUAGGCUAUAUGAUUCUGGUAAGAAAUUAAUGAACACUACUAAGUUGCUAACUCUGCCGGGUAGUUUAUCCCCGGUUACACUGAUUUGAGGAGGAGGUAAUGGGAUCACCAAAGCCUGUGCCUGUCAUUUGCUUCCAUUGAAGUCACUAAGGUGUCCAACUCCAGCCCCUGAUCCACGGAUUUGUUCCUUAACCUAAAUACACAGCGCGGUCCUUUGUUUCACACAAAUGAGGUUAUGUACUGAUCACAUAGUUGAUGAAGUAAUAACUUUUUCAAGCAUAUCUUUCCUCAAAAUAUUAAACGUGAAGAGGCCACAGCUCAGCAGACAAAUGACUUACUCUUCCAUUAGGUUGUUACCACCAAAGCAAGCUUCCAUUUGGGCUAAGAGAAUUUUACUGACCCCUGGAGAGUGAGGAUACACAUUUUUCUGCAUGUUCGAGAGAAAAGAAGAAAAUUACCGUUCCUGGAAAGCCAUUUUCUUUUCUCUAAGCUUUCUGCCUUUUGUCCUUCCCAGUUUCAUGUAGGAGCAGGUGCAGUUUAACUGUACCUGCUGUUCCAUGAUGGUCUUAAUGGUCAGCAAUCAACAUAGGCCAACUAUAACUGCUUUAUGUGUAUAUUAUCCAUUAGCAGAGAGAACCAUCAUAUAUUAACAGAAUGAUUGCAAUCCAGUUGGUUAAAUACUUAAAUCUCAUCACAAUUAUUCGUAUGUUGAGAUGCGGAGAUUUAGAGGAGUUAUUUUCAAGAAAACAAAUGAGUAACAAGUGGAAGACUGCUCAACUAUGCUUACAAAUCUAAUGGUGUUUUCUCCAAACAAACGAUGGGCGGUUUUUGCAAAAGCGGAAUUCAUGAAUAUUGUUAAUUGUUAUCCUUUAGAGUUUGGAGUUUGGCUGCUCAAUUGUUUGCUUUGAUUAUAAACCUGAUUGCAUUUGCAUAUCUAUUUGCAUGAUUACCAUGUGAAAAGUGGUUGUUUAUUAUGUUGCCCAUAGCUAGCAUAGUUAGUCAAAGGUCAAACAGUUAGCAAAAUGUCGAAUAGUAUUCCGUGCUAUAGAAUGCACAGUCAAUUGUUAUGCUGUUCUUUUUAAGCAAUGCUGUUUAGAUGUUCAUCGUUCUGUGGCUUGAAGUUGGAUAUUUCAAAUUAUGUGAAUCUUUAGAUGGUAUGAUCAGGGAAACACAAUGAUAUAUGGCUUCACAAUUUUUAUUCAUCAAAUCUUACCUGGAAGGCUGUAAUAAUCAGUGUAAUUAACCCUUUAUGUUAUGGGUCCUUAAGCUCUCUAAUAUGAUAGGGUUUCAUCAUAGGUAAAUACAUGGGACCAAAAUACCUGCAAUGUGUCUGUUUAACCUAGGUAAAUACCUAGAAUGUGUUUGUUUAUCUUCACCUCCUCUUCUUAGCUGGCACCUAUUAUAAAGGUGGUUUUCUUACCUGGCGUUACCUAGGACCAAAAGAACUCGUCACUACUGUGUAAUAAUUCCUCCUUUGCAACUGUUGACUGAAAGAUAGUCACCAAUUGUUUCAAAAGUGUACUAAUUAGCUUGUCCUAGACGUGAUAUAUUUAAAAAUGGAGGGAGUACUCUUCUGCACCUUGAUAACCUGGCCCUAUGACAUAAGAAUGCUAAUGCAAAAAAGAGAAAAGUAGUUUAUACCUUCAUUUAUUCAGAAGAUGGAUAGCUAGAUGAACAAACAGCUCGGGUAUAAAAAAAAUCUGCUUCAAGUCACUGAGACAUUUAUUUGUCCUAUUUGAGCAAUUUUUAGCUCUAACUUUAUCCUUGGCUUGUUAGACAUGAUGUGCUUUUUAAUAUAAAGUGUCAAGUAAGAGAUGAUGCUCUCAUUGUGACUUUUGAGGUGUGCACUAUACAAAAUGAUACUCUUAAAGCAUUUUCUUUGCAAUAAUCAUUUACGAAGAAGCUUGAAUAGGAUCCAUAUGGAAUACCUUUGUUGCAUCAUCCAUUUCCACCAUUGGUUUUCAAAUAGCAUUCUGAUGGGAGAGCGAAACUGAAGCAGGGGUAUAUACCGAAUGGCAGGGCAAUUCUCCUUUGGCAGGGAUGGCAAUAGCACUGCUCAUUCUCCAAUGCUUGCUACAUUAGCCUCCAUGCCAGAGGAGAACCACACUGUGAUUCUCACCCUGAAAUGCUCCCUAUUCAUCCUUGAUCUCUCUCAUUUCUUAUUUUACAAGAAAGUCCAUCACUCUGCUGUAACUAGGCCUUCAUAUUCUUCUUUUGUGCUCACUCUGUUUCUUGCCUUGCACCGUAUGUUGCCAUGGCAAAUAUAUAAGACCAAGAUGGGCAAGCAAAAUCUGGAUAUGCUGCUGGAUAUACUUCCAAAUCAGGACAAUGCUUUCAGGAGGUCCGUUGAUAUUAUGCUUUGUCGCGGAACAUCCCCAUGGAUCUUCUCAUUGGUGCUGUUCAAAGCUGCCUCAGUUGAAAAAUCCAGUAGGUAUCUGAUUCCAUGAGCUUUGUAGAAAGGAUGCACAUUCUGCAAGUUGAACUGCUGCGGGCGUCGAAAGGCUGCAUAACAUUUCAAUAUAUCUAAUCUUGGGUCCUACACCCAGAUGAUUGUUUACAUACUAUUCCUGGAUAUUUAUCUUUUUUGGAAACUUUGAUUCAUAAAUAUGCCACCUGUUUCUGCUGAUUCUUUUUCUUGAUCAUUAAAAGUUCUAAUCAACAGUCAUCAUUGACUACUUUUUUUUUCAGUUCCCCCCACAAGAACUACCAUUGACAAGUUAUAAUACAAUUUUGUUUUAACUAGCUAAAAUUGUAGGAAGCAACAAGAAAAUGACACAUAGCAGGAAUCAUCAAAACAUCGUUGUGCCAUGUCCAUGUCGCAAGUAUUAGGUCUCGGAUGAACGUGUCGGACCAACUAGUGUGAGCCUGAAUUAUCAACGUGUCGGACCAACUAGUGUGAGCCUGAAUUAUAACAUCGUCGGAGAAUGAAUUGCGAGGUGAUCCCAUGGUGAGGAGAAUAGAUUGAAAUUUUGCUAAGUGGCAAGUGAAAAUCAGCAAGGUAGACAAGAAAAUGGCACAAUAGCAUCACACUUUUUGCAGAGUGGAAGACAGUAAAUUUUCUGAAGUACAUAAGGAGAAGAGCAAUGGAUCCACCCUUUGAACACACCGAGAGUCUGAAGAUGGCAAGUACUACAAACUGGUGGACAUUACAUUAGUUGCAAGUCAGUCGUUAUGUUUACUAUUGCAAAAGUGAAAACUUUCAACAUGAUGAAGAUGCCAGUGGUGCUUGGAAAAUAUGCUUCUUUGUAUCUGGAAGGCGCCUAUCUGGAAAUAUGCUUGGUACCAUACCUGUCAAGCAAAGAGAAGAGAAGAUCAAGUGGAUAUGCUGAUGCCAGCUUCCAUGCCAUAAGCUACUCUAGCAACGGUACAAUGCAUAUAAAUACAGAGUUGGUCGAACCUAGGAUGCAGCAGCCAGUCAUCAGGUAAGCCAAAUAAGAAGAGUGCAAUAGUACAUUGGUGUGUGCAUGGAUGCAAGUCAAUGAUUACUGGGCCAUUUUUCCUUGGGCAGAGUGAUUAAACCUCUCACUUUGCUGGAUCUGGUUUUUUCUGCCAAAGGAGAUUUGUCCAGCGAUCCACAUUUGCAAUCUCUUUAGUAACAGGAUGGUUAAUGUUGGUAGAAUGUAUUACUUAUGUGUGCAUAUAUAAUGCACGUUCACCUGUUUGGGUUUGCACACUCAUGCUUUAAAAUGACGCUAAUACUUCAAUUUUAUUCCGUUUAGUCUUGAAUUUAUCUCUUAUUUUUUGUGAGUGAAUAUAAGGAUAUGAUUAAUAUUUCUUCUAGUUUCAAAAAAGUGCCCCCCCUCCCCCCCUCUUAAAUGCAAUACAUUAGAAUCUAGUAUCGUGACUCAUAUUUUCAUUUACUUCCCGCUUUGGACUGACUGAUGCUACUGCAGUACACAUGUCAUCAAAUUUGUUAGAUUAUCAACGCCAUUUUUCAAUAUAUACUUUCAGAUAAAUGGUUGCCGCAAUUCAAUAACGGUAUUCUUUUUACUAAAAGAGAAUGGUUAUUUGACUAAUAUAUAUUUGACAUCAUAGUUCGCUUAAUUUUAGCUGAAGACUUUUGACUUUUGAGAAGUAUUAAUGCUAGAGAAUAUUGAAUAAACUAGAAAAAAAUUUAAAGAAAUCCCUAGGAAACUUGCAGCAAUUAAUUAUACAUUGGAUUUGCUUUUCAUGUAAAGUUUGUAGUUUCAAAUACUGGCUAACAUUAUAACAUAACACCUUCAAGACUAUAGCCCUAAGGAGAUUGUUCCUUGAUGGCUCGCUACAGUAUUCAGCAUAGUUCUCCUUCAAUGCUGCCAUUUUAUAAAUUUUGUGGAGAACGUGCAUUUUUCAUUAAGAGGACCAUUUUAUACAUGGUCAUGCAUACACUUAGACACACACAAAAAAAAAUGCAUUUGUACUCCAAUUUCAGAGCAUACAUGGCCUGCUUGGCUCCCCGCCACAAGCUAGUGGCCUGGUGGUUGUGGUGGCGCGACAUCCAAGGCGUGGCGUGUUAUGGCGUAGAACCAAACACGCAGACACUUAUAGGUUCUGACCUGAUAAUUUCUCUUAUAAAUUCUUCAUCUCAUAGAAACUGUUCGUUUACAAAAUUUCAUUAUCAGUAAGUAGAAAAUGAUCAUAUUAUUUCUAAUUAACUAUAGCAGUUGUGAUUAAAAAUCGUAUUGUUUAUUUCGUUCUCUAGAUACAAAUGCAUUGGAACAUGAAAAGUAACAUUUACUUAAGCAUUUGAUUGGCUCCAUACCCUUCUCUAUGCAAUUAUUUCUUGGUAUUUGAUAUUGCUUUAAUUAGAUGGACUUUACUACAGUAUAAAAGAACACUCUUUAUGGGAUAAAAUUUGAAAGGUAAACGAACGGUCUUUGCAGGACGGGGACGGAGGGAGUAAGUCAUCACAUAAGUAACUCAUCUAUUUUAUACACACUUUCAGGUUCCAUAGAAGCCACAAAAUGGAAGUUUCUUUUGCAAUGUUGGCUUCCUGAUCCUGGUUAUCAAACGGUCAAUUCAGACAUCUAAGCUGCUGCAGCUUUUGGCGAGCUAAUUUGAGGAAUAUUUGACAUAGCCCCAGAUCAGUAGUCUUCAAAUCUGAAGGCACUAGGUUCCAUAUGGGGCCGAAACACUUAGCUUCUAGUCAACAGUGCAUAGGAGAAAGACAUGCGAUUGGUCAAUAUGAAAUCAAGUGCGUCGGAUGGCAGAUCAGAUCUUCACCCGUGCCUACCUCCUAGGGAGCUGCCUUUGAAGAGCAUCUGAUCAGCAUGUGCCUGAAGUUCUUGAAGGCUGAAGAGCCACCGGAUCUUCUAACGGCCGCGUCACACGUGAGACUCACAUACAUGCCGGACAGAAUAUAAGAUCUCAAUCUUGAAAAAGUACGGCUCCUUUGGCCACUUUGAAGCAUCUGUUUAUGACUGGAUACUAGGACCGGCAACUCUUGUCAGCUUCAAGAUAUUUCCAAAAACGUUAGUUAAUUAUCAAAGGACAAUGCAAGUUUUUUUUAAUUUUUUUUUACUAUACCUGAAUUGCCCCUUCCAAAUUGCGCUUUUGAAUGAGAAAUUUGGUCGAUUGGAUGAAA